CGGGACGGGUGAGUAAUGUCUGGGAAACUGCCUGAUGGAGGGGGAUAACUACUGGAAACGGUAGCUAAUACCGCAUAACGCGCAAGACCAAAGAGGGGGACCUUCGGGCCUCUUGCCAUCGGAUGUGCCCAGAUGGGAUUAGCUAGUAGGUGGGGUAACGGCUCACCUAGGCGACGAUCCCUAGCUGGUCUGAGAGGAUGACCAGCCACACUGGAACUGAGACACGGUCCAG
rnacentral:rRNA from 1 species